CCUACGGGAGGCUGCAGUGGGGAAUAUUGGACAAUGGGGGCAACCCUGAUCCAGCCAUGCCGCGUGUGUGAAGAAGGCCCUCGGGUUGUAAAGCACUUUCAGUGAGGAAGAACGCCUGGUGGUUAAUACCCAUCAGGAAAGACAUCACUCACAGAAGAAGCACCGGCUAACUCCGUGCCAGCAGCCGCGGUAAUACGGAGGGUGCGAGCGUUAAUCGGAAUUACUGGGCGUAAAGCGCGCGUAGGUGGCUUGAUAAGCCGGUUGUGAAAGCCCCGGGCUCAACCUGGGAACGGCAUCCGGAACUGUCAAGCUAGAGUGCAGGAGAGGAAGGUAGAAUUACCGGUGUAGCGGUGAAAUGCGUAGAGAUCGGGAGGAAUACCAGUGGCGAAGGCGGCCUUCUGGACUGACACUGACACUGAGGUGCGAAAGCGUGGGUAGCAAACAGGAUUAGAUACCCUUGUAGUC
rnacentral:rRNA from 1 species